GCUCUUUGUGUUCGUGUAAUACUAUUUCAUCUGCAGACGUUCUGUGUUUGUAUCCCAGCAUAUUUCACAAUGUUCUUUGAAUAUCACUUGCAUAUCAGUGUGUCCGUUUUUAUCUAACAGACUUGAUUUCUCCUCAAUCUUUUCUGUUCCUGACUCUGGAGAACCCAAGCCUCCUCCUGGUUAACUUGUGACCUUCAAAGCCUGUUGCUUAGUCAGAAGAUUUACAUAUUCUCAGGCAGGCUGAUUAGUUCAUUCAAGUUGUGUAUGUUCAUUCAGCUGUGUUAUGUGAUAGGCCCCAGAAGACAUUAAAAUUCCUUUGAGUAAAGCGGGUAACACUUUCCACUAAUUGAGAAAUGUGGGACUUUUAGAGGCCACCACCCAGCAUUGAUCUCCUAACUCUACUCUUAGUUUUCCCCUAUGGAAAUACUUUUUUGUAUUUUUUCCCUCAUAAAUAGAAUGCAGGCUGUGAACAGGCGAAAAGCCAAGGUGAAAAUAACCAAAAAAGUAUGAAGAAAGUGAAAGAUACACUCUCAUUCCAGGUUUCCUUUUCUGGUUGCUUAUUCAUUUCAGGUCUAGGACUACAUUUCAGAGGAAAUGGUAGAGAUUCAUAGCCGGGAGGAGGGGAGGUAGAGGGAGAAGCUGCUGUCCCAGGAGUCUAGGGAAGGAAGAGUCAAUUAAAAAAAAGUACAAGUGGCCAGUAGCCCCAGGGGAGGAUGCUGUCCUGUUUUGGUAAUUGGAGGAAGGGAAACACAACUAGAGGAAAAUGGGAUUAGCCGCAAAGAAGAAAGAGUAACAAGGCCUGGUAUGGGGGAGGGAAUGAAGGGGGGGCGGGUCCUCUUCUGCCGCACUGCUGGUGGGAGGGGAAAGUGGGGAUCCGAGUUGGUGGAUGACGUCGCUCUCACGUGACCAAGAGCUGACGUGUGCAGAAGUCCUUCUUGUCCUGGUCGUUGUUCCCGUCUGAGUACCAGCUCCUUAUCACCCUGAGGGCGGGCGAGCCUGUAGCCGAGGCAAGAAGGAGGCGGAAAAGAAAUUGUCCCGGAUCCCUGCAGGUCUGCUGUAGCAGGUGGCACCUCUUGAAGCAAGGGAGGAACUUUCCCCGGAUCAGUAGAGAUCAGAAAGAUUGUUGGGCGUGGCAAUACCUCACAGGAAAGGAAGAAGGGGGCAAACUGCUUGUUUCCAGGAGGUUUGUCUCCAGAACCAGUUACACUGGCCUUGAAGUGACUGAAGAAGACCAUUCUCCACAGGCCUGCACUUAGGCCCGAAGCCCUCUUCCCCUAUUUUGAGUGACUACUCUAUUUCUUUGUCCCUG
rnacentral:lncRNA from 1 species